UGGGGAAUAUUGGACAAUGGGCGAAAGCCUGAUCCAGCAACGCCGCGUGAGGGAUGACGGCCUUCGGGUUGUAAACCUCUUUCAGCAGGGACGAAGCGAAAGUGACGGUACCUGCAAAAGAAGCACCGGCCAACUACGUGCCAGCAGCCGCGGUAAUACGUAGGGUGCAAGCGUUGUCCGGAAUUAUUGGGCGUAAAGGGCUCGUAGGCGGUCCGUCACGUCGGGAGUGAAAUCCUGGGGCUUAACCCCAGAACGGCUUCCGAUACGGGCAGACUAGAGGUAGGUAGGGGAGAAUGGAAUUCCUGGUGUAGCGGUGGAAUGCGCAGAUAUCAGGAGGAACACCAGUGGCGAAGGCGGUUCUCUGGGCCUUACCUGACGCUGAGGAGCGAAAGCGUGGGGAGCAAACAG
rnacentral:rRNA from 1 species